rnacentral:rRNA from 1 species
GGGCUAGAACGCAAUCGGAAUCAGGCCGAAAGGUCUGCGCCAGCGAUGGCCGCUUGCGAGGUGCUGCAUGGUUGUCGUCAGCUCGUGCCGUGAGGUGUCGGGUUAAGUCCCAUAACGAGCGCAACCCCUACUGCUAGUUGCCAGCGGGUCAUGCCGGGGACUCUAGCGGAACUGCCAGCGUAAGCUGCGAGGAAGUGGGGAUGACGUCAAAUCAGCACGGCCCUUACGUCCAGGGCUACACACGUGUUACAAUGGCCAGUACAGAGGGCAGCCACCCGCGAGGGGGCGCUAAUCCUAAAAGCUGGUCCCAGUUCGGAUCGGAGUCUGCAACCCGACUCCGUGAAGCUGGAUUCGCUAGUAAUCGCGCAUCAGCCACGGCGCGGUGAAUACGUUCCCGGGCCUU